ACACUAUCAUUAACUGAAUCCAUAGGUUAAUGAGGCGAACCGGGGGAACUGAAACAUCUAAGUACCCCGAGGAAAAGAAAUCAACCGAGAUUCCCCCAGUAGCGGCGAGCGAACGGGGAGGAGCCCAGAGCCUGAAUCAGUGUGUGUGUUAGUGGAAGCGUCUGGAAAGGCGCGCGAUACAGGGUGACAGCCCCGUACACAAAAAUGCACAUGCUGUGAGCUCGAUGAGUAGGGCGGGACACGUGGUAUCCUGUCUGAAUAUGGGGGGACCAUCCUCCAAGGCUAAAUACUCCUGACUGACCGAUAGUGAACCAGUACCGUGAGGGAAAGGCGAAAAGAACCCCGGCGAGGGGAGUGAAAAAGAACCUGAAACCGUGUACGUACAAGCAGUGGGAGCACGCUUAGGCGUGUGACUGCGUACCUUUUGUAUAAUGGGUCAGCGACUUAUAUUCUGUAGCAAGGUUAACCGAAUAGGGGAGCCGAAGGGAAACCGAGUCUUAACUGGGCGUUAAGUUGCAGGGUAUAGACCCGAAACCCGGUGAUCUAGCCAUGGGCAGGUUGAAGGUUGGGUAACACUAACUGGAGGACCGAACCGACUAAUGUUGAAAAAUUAGCGGAUGACUUGUGGCUGGGGGUGAAAGGCCAAUCAAACCGGGAGAUAGCUGGUUCUCCCCGAAAGCUAUUUAGGUAGCGCCUCGUGAAUUCAUCUCCGGGGGUAGAGCACUGUUUCGGCAAGGGGGUCAUCCCGACUUACCAACCCGAUGCAAACUGCGAAUACCGGAGAAUGUUAUCACGGGAGACACACGGCGGGUGCUAACGUCCGUCGUGAAGAGGGAAACAACCCAGACCGCCAGCUAAGGUCCCAAAGUCAUGGUUAAGUGGGAAACGAUGUGGGAAGGCCCAGACAGCCAGGAUGUUGGCUUAGAAGCAGCCAUCAUUUAAAGAAAGCGUAAUAGCUCACUGGUCGAGUCGGCCUGCGCGGAAGAUGUAACGGGGCUAAACCAUGCACCGAAGCUGCGGCAGCGACACUAUGUGUUGUUGGGUAGGGGAGCGUUCUGUAAGCCUGUGAAGGUGUGCUGUGAGGCAUGCUGGAGGUAUCAGAAGUGCGAAUGCUGACAUAAGUAACGAUAAAGCGGGUGAAAAGCCCGCUCGCCGGAAGACCAAGGGUUCCUGUCCAACGUUAAUCGGGGCAGGGUGAGUCGACCCCUAAGGCGAGGCCGAAAGGCGUAGUCGAUGGGAAACAGGUUAAUAUUCCUGUACUUGGUGUUACUGCGAAGGGGGGACGGAGAAGGCUAUGUUGGCCGGGCGACGGUUGUCCCGGUUUAAGCGUGUAGGCUGGUUUUCCAGGCAAAUCCGGAAAAUCAAGGCUGAGGCGUGAUGACGAGGCACUACGGUGCUGAAGCAACAAAUGCCCUGCUUCCAGGAAAAGCCUCUAAGCAUCAGGUAACAUCAAAUCGUACCCCAAACCGACACAGGUGGUCAGGUAGAGAAUACCAAGGCGCUUGAGAGAACUCGGGUGAAGGAACUAGGCAAAAUGGUGCCGUAACUUCGGGAGAAGGCACGCUGAUAUGUAGGUGAAGUCCCUCGCGGAUGGAGCUGAAAUCAGUCGAAGAUACCAGCUGGCUGCAACUGUUUAUUAAAAACACAGCACUGUGCAAACACGAAAGUGGACGUAUACGGUGUGACGCCUGCCCGGUGCCGGAAGGUUAAUUGAUGGGGUCAGCGCAAGCGAAGCUCUUGAUCGAAGCCCCGGUAAACGGCGGCCGUAACUAUAACGGUCCUAAGGUAGCGAAAUUCCUUGUCGGGUAAGUUCCGACCUGCACGAAUGGCGUAAUGAUGGCCAGGCUGUCUCCACCCGAGACUCAGUGAAAUUGAACUCGCUGUGAAGAUGCAGUGUACCCGCGGCAAGACGGAAAGACCCCGUGAACCUUUACUAUAGCUUGACACUGAACAUUGAGCCUUGAUGUGUAGGAUAGGUGGGAGGCUUUGAAGUGUGGACGCCAGUCUGCAUGGAGCCGACCUUGAAAUACCACCCUUUAAUGUUUGAUGUUCUAACGU
rnacentral:rRNA from 1 species